UAGCCAUAUCACGUUGAAACACCGGUUCUUGUACGAUCAAUGUGUUUAAGCAACGCCGAGCCUGGUCAGUACCAAGAUGGGUGACCACUUGGGAAUAUCAAGUG